rnacentral:lncRNA from 1 species
CUUUCUUAUACAUACACAUAUGUCACAACUUCCAUCAUCAUAGCAACAUCAUCAAAAUCAUGUCAUUCAUUUAGGCAAUGCAACAUUCAUGUUGGCUUACACAAAUUUUCCUAUUGUCCCAUUUAGACAAUAUACUUAUGCAUACAUUCUAUGUUUUCUAGAUAGCUUUACUUAUCCAUUCAUUUAAUUAAAUUAAUUCAUGCUCAUGACAUCAUAUAAGGCCAAACAAACAUAGACAUUUGCAUCACAAUCACAACAUUCAUUUCGUGCAUCAUAAUGUACAUAUCAUUACAAUCAUAUAAUUCAAUCCAACAAUUUAAUUAACAUAGAUAAGUUCAUUUCAUUAUAAU